rnacentral:rRNA from 1 species
GUAUUGUGCAAUGAACGAAAGUUUGACACAGCGACCCCGCGUGUGGGAUGACGGAUCUAGGUUUGUAAACCACUUUCAGGAGGGAAGAAAAUGACGGUACCUCCACAAGAAGCCCCGGCCAACUACGUGCCAGCAGCCGCGGUAAUACGUAGGGGGCGAGCGUUGUCCGGAUUUAUUGGGCGUAAAGAGCUCGUAGGCGGUUCAACAAGUCGGUCGUGAAAGUUCAGGGCUCAACCCUGAAAUGUCGAUCGAUACUGUUGUGACUAGGAUACGGUAGAGGUGAGUGGAAUUCCGAGUGUAGCGGUGAAAUGCGUAGAUAUUCGGAGGAACACCAAUUGCGAAGGCAGCUCACUGGGCCGCUAUCGACGCUGAGGAGCGAAAGCUAGGGGAGCAAACAGGAUUAGAUACCCUGGUAGUCCUAGCUGUAAACGAUGGAUACUAGAUGUAGGAACUGGAUUGACGGUUUCUGUAUCGCACG